rnacentral:lncRNA from 1 species
GUCCUGGAGCUUGGCAACAUCUUUGGAGUCAUAUAACUGUCACAAUAGAUAAUGGCCCAUUUGUAGUCGUGGCACAUCACUCACAUUUCACAUUCAUCAUGCACUGCAGUCAUUUCCUAAGGAGAUCACAGUCAUACUGGAGUAUCAUUACUACUUCAUAGUAAAAUGACACUCACAUCAUCUUGUUAGGACUGUAUUAUUUGUAUAGUAAACCGAGUGGCUGAAUGACAAUCUGCAUAUUUUACAGUGCUUGCUUACAAGAAGAAAAUGUUUUAUAAAUGAACCUGAAUACACUUUAAAAAACUUUAAAAAACUUUAAAAAACACUUUAACAACCAGACAAAUGAACAAGGAACUUGCUGCUCUUGGGCUGGCACUUGUGGUCUCCAGAUUUUUGUUGCCAAACCAGUGGAAUUGAGAACAGCAAAACUCUCAUUGGAAAGAACGAGGAAUGGCCUUUCUGAAGCUAGCAUGAGAAUAUGUGGAUGGGCAAGGCCUGCAUCAUCAUUCUCUACAAGAAACAGCAGCCCCACAAACACACAAGAUACAAGCAAGUGCAUAACAAGAACAAAGAUUUCAAAUGGCUGCAGUUUGGGCUUUGUGGAACUUCAAUCAGUCAGUUUGUAUAGUGCAAAUCAAACAAAGCAAGCAGUGAGUGACCCCCCAACAUCUUCUCAUGGCACUCUCAGAAAAAGAGGUUACAUUGAACUUCCCAAGAUACAGGAGUAGGGCUACACGAAAGCCAUAGCAUCAAAGGCAGAAGGAAGGCAACAGCAAUAAACAAGAACUUGUUCUUUAGAUGUGGUGGAUG